rnacentral:sRNA from 1 species
GUCUUCGAUCUGUUGCGGACAGAUGAAAUGGAUGUGGCUGUCAAAGCCGCCGGCGGUCAGGAUGCGCCCCUCGCCCGCGAUGAUCUCGGUUCCCGGGCCGAUCACGAUAUCCACGCCGGGCUGGGUGUCGGGGUUGCCCGCCUUGCCGAUCUUGUGGAUCGCACCGUCCUUGAGGCCCACAUCCGCCUUGUAGAUGCCGGUAUAAUCCAGGAUCAGCGCGUUGGUGAUGACCGUAUCCACCGCCCCCUCGGCCCGCGUCACCUGGCUUUGUCCCAUCCCGUCGCGGAU